GUCGACGUCUGAUUUCCCGGACGCCCGAAAUUCCGGACAUGCCUGAUUUCCCGGACUCAUCUGUGGCACCGUCAAGUUCCCCAUAGAGUCAAUGUAUUAAAAAGUCCGAAAUUCCGGACGCUUAUAGCCUUCGCCAUCUGAUUUCCCGGACUUUUUACUGUUAACCGCCGACCCAGAGUCACCACCAACGCCGCCAUUUUGGUUGUUUUCAUAUCCUCGAACCCACCAUACUCGCAUCGCAGGUUACCGCCGCACCGCGCCGCGGCUGCCGUAACCUCGAAA